GGGUAGGUGCCCGAGUGGUUAAAGGGGGCAGACUGUAAAUCUGUUGGCUUCCGCCUACGAUGGUUCGAAUCCAUCCCUGCCCACCA
rnacentral:tRNA from 3 species